rnacentral:tRNA from 1 species
GUCAAUGUAGCUUAAAACCGUAAAAGCAAAGCACUGAAAAUGCUUAGAUGAGUGUACAUACUCCGUAGACA